UACGGAGGGGCUAGCGUUGUUCGGAAUUACUGGGCGUAAAGCGUACGUAGGCGGCUUUGUAAGUUAGAGGUGAAAGCCCGGGGCUCAACCCCGGAAUUGCCUUUAAGACUGCAUCGCUUGAAUCGCGGAGAGGUGAGUGGAAUUCCGAGUGUAGAGGUGAAAUUCGUAGAUAUUCGGAAGAACACCAGUGGCGAAGGCGGCUCACUGGACGCGUAUUGACGCUGAGGUACGAAAGCGUGGGGAACAAACAGGAUUAGAAACCCCUGUAGU
rnacentral:rRNA from 1 species